GUGGGGAAUAUUGGACAAUGGGCGAAAGCCUGAUCCAGCCAUGCCGCGUGUGUGAAGAAGGUCUUCGGAUUGUAAAGCACUUUAAGUUGGGAGGAAGGGCAGUAAGUUAAUACCUUGCUGUUUUGACGUUACCGACAGAAUAAGCACCGGCUAACUUCGUGCCAGCAGCCGCGGUAAUACGAAGGGUGCAAGCGUUAAUCGGAAUUACUGGGCGAAAAGCGCGCGUAGGUGGUUUUGUAAGUUGGAGGUGAAAGCCCCGGGCUCAACCUGGCAACUGCAUCCAAAACUGCAUGACUAGAGUACGGUAGAUGGUAGUGGAAUUUCCUGUGUAGCGGUGAAAUGCGUAGAUAUAGGAAGGAACACCAGUGGCGAAGGCGACUACCUGGACUGAUACUGACACUGAGGUGCGAAAGCGUGGGGAGCAAACAGGAUUAGAUACCCUUGUAGUCC
rnacentral:rRNA from 1 species